AACGAACGCUGGCGGCAGGCCUAACACAUGCAAGUCGAACGCCGUAGCAAUACGGAGUGGCAGACGGGUGAGUAACGCGUGGGAACAUACCCCUCGGUUCGGAAUAACUCAGGGAAACUUGAGCUAAUACCGGAUACGUCCGAGGUUUUGAUCGACCUUGGAGAAAGAUUUAUCGCCGAAGGAUUGGCCCGCGUCUGAUUAGCUUGUUGGUGAGGUAAUGGCUCACCAAGGCGACGAUCAGUAGCUGGUCUGAGAGGAUGAUCAGCCACAUUGGGACUGAGACACGGCCCAAACUCCUACGGGAGGCAGCAGUGGGGAAUAUUGGACAAUGGGCGAAAGCCUGAUCCAGCCAUGCCGCGUGAGUGAUGAAGGCCUUC
rnacentral:rRNA from 1 species